rnacentral:rRNA from 1 species
AUUGAACGCUGGCGGCAGGCCUAACACAUGCAAGUCGAACGGUAACAGGAAGAAGCUUGCUUCUUUGCUGACGAGUGGCGGACGGGUGAGUAAUGUCUGGGAAACUGCCUGAUGGAGGGGGAUAACUACUGGAAACGGUAGCUAAUACCGCAUAACGUCGCAAGACCAAAGAGGGGGGACCUUUCGGGCCUCUUGCCAUCGGAUGUGCCCAGAUGGGAUUAGCUAGUAGGUGGGGUAACGGCUCACCUAGGCGACGAUCCCUAGCUGGUCUGAGAGGAUGACCAGCCACACUGGAACUGAGACACGGUCCAGACUCCUACGGGAGGCAGCAGUGGGGGAAUAUUGCACAAUGGGCGCAAGCCUGAUGCAGCCAUGCCGCGUGUAUGAAGAAGGCCC